rnacentral:rRNA from 1 species
CCUACGGGCGGCAACAGUGAGGAAUAUUGGUCAAUGGGAGAGAUCCUGAACCAGCCAAGCCGCGUGAGGGAAGACGGCCCUAUGGGUUGUAAACCUCUUUUGUCGGAGAACAAAACCCGGGACGUGUCCCGGACUGCGUGUAUCCGAAGAAAAAGCAUCGGCUAACUCCGUGCCAGCAGCCGCGGUAAUACGGAGGAUGCGAGCGUUAUCCGGAUUUAUUGGGUUGAAAGGGUGCGGAGGCGGUCCGUUAAGUCAGCGGGAAAAUUGCGGGGCUCAACCCCGUCGAGCCGUUGAAACUGGCAGACUUGAGUUGGCGAGAAGUACGCGGAAUGCGCGGUGGAGCGGUGAAAUGCAUAGAUAUCGCGCAGAACUCCGAUUGCGAAGGCAGCGUACCGGCGCCAGACUGACGCUGAGGCACGAAAGCGUGGGGAUCGAACAGGAUUAGAUACCCCAGUAGUC